CAGCAGCCGCGGGAAUACAGAGGAUGCAAGCGUUAUCCGGAAUGAUUGGGCGUGAAGCGUCUGUAGGUGGCUUUUCAAGUCCGCCGUCAAAUCCCAGGGCUCAACCCUGGACAGGCGGUGGAAACUACCAAGCUGGAGUACGGUAGGGGCAGAGGGAAUUUCCGGUGGAGCGGUGAGAUGCGUUGAGAUCGGAAAGAGCACCAACGGCAAAAGCACUCUGCUGGGCCGACACUGACACUGAGAGACGAAAGCUAGGGGAGCAAAUGGGAUUAGAUACCCCAGUAGUCCCUGUCUCUUAUAC
rnacentral:rRNA from 1 species